GACGUAGGAUGCAAGCGUUGUCCGGAUUUAUUGGGCGUAAAGAGUUCGUAGGCGGCGCGGUAAGUCGGGUGUGAAAUCUCGGAGCUUAACUCCGAAACUGCAUUCGAUACUGCCGUGCUUGAGGACUGGAGAGGAGACUGGAAUUUACGGUGUAGCGGUGAAAUGCGUAGAUAUCGUAAGGAAGACCAGUGGCGAAGGCGGGUCUCUGGACAGUUCCUGACGCUGAGGCACGAAGGUCAGGGGAGCAAACGGG
rnacentral:rRNA from 1 species